rnacentral:rRNA from 1 species
UGAAUACGAGACGCUACGGCGUCGAAGCAGUCUAUGUCAUACUUCCAAGAAAAGCUUGCACUGUCAUAAACAAAUAAUGCCUGUACCAUAACCGACACAGGUGGGUAGGUAGAGUAUACUAAGGGGCGCGAGAUAACUCUCUCUAAGGAACUCGGCAAAAUGACUCCGUAACUUCGGGAGAAGGAGUGCCUUAUUUAUAAGGUUGCAAUAACAAGAUCCAAGCAACUGUUUAUCAAAAACACAGGUCUCCGCUAAGUCGUAAGACGAUGUAUGGGGGCUGACGCCUGCCCAGUGCCAGAAGGUUAAAGAAGUUGGUUAGCAUUAGCGAAGCUGAUAACUGAAGCCCUGGUGAACGGCGGCCGUAACUAUAACGGUCCUAAGGUAGCGAAAUUCCUUGUCGGGUAAGUUCCGACCCGCACGAAAGGCGUAAUGAUUUGGAUACUGUCUCGGAGAGGGGCUCGGUGAAAUAGACUUGUCUGUGAAGAUGCGGACUACCUGCACCUGGACAGAAAGACCCUAUGAAGCUUUACUGUAACCUGAAAUUGAAAUUGGACUUUAUUUGCGCAGUAUAGGUGGGAGGCGUUGAGAAUAUUCUUGCGGGAAUAUUGGAGCCAUCAGUGAGAUACCACUCUUGUAAUGUUAGAUUUCUAACUUUGAAUCAUUAUCUGGUCAAAGAACAGUUUCAGGCGGGCAGUUUGACUGGGGCGGUCGCCUCCUAAAUGGUAACGGAGGCGCACAAAGGUUUCCUCUGAACGGGUAGAAAUCGCAUCUAGAGUGUAAAGGCAUAAGGAAGCUUGACUGUGAGACCUACAAGUCGAGCAGGGACGAAAGUCGGUCUUAGUGAUCUGACGGUGCUGAGUGGAAAGGCCGUCACUCAACGGAUAAAAGUUACUCUAAGGAUAACAGGCUGAUCUCCCCCAAGAGUUCACAUCGACGGGGAGGUUUGGCACCUCGAUGUCGGCUCAUCGCAUCCUGGGGCGGUAGUACGUCCCAAGGGUUGGGCUGUUCGCCCAUGAAAGCGGUACGCGAGCUGGGUUCAGAACGUCGUGAGACAGUUCGGUCCAUAUCCGGUGUAGGCGUUAGAAUAUUGAGAGGAGCCUUCUUUAGUACGAGAGGACCGAGAGGGACAUACCUCUGGUGUACCAGUUAUCGUGCCAACGGUAAACGCUGGGUAGCUAUGUAUGGAGAGGAUAACCGCUGAAAGCAUCUAAGUGGGAAGCCCACCUCAAGAUAAG